rnacentral:lncRNA from 1 species
GCUAAUCUUCUCCUGUGUAGCCGACAGCUCCACUCUGAGAGAGCUGAUCUUUGCAGCUUGGGCCCAAGAUCGAUCGCUGGUGUGCUUCUUAUGUUCCUCAAGCUCCUUCUCAAAGUUCGCUUUUCUAUGGCUAUACUCCAUGACCCCCUUCACGUGGAGGUUCCGAAAGUAGGUGGCCUCCGCGGUGGCCUCAGAAUGGCUCUCCCUCAACUUGCGAAGUUCGCCCUCCAUCUCCUUCGCCCCUUUCGUUAAAUGACGAACUUUCUUCUUCAGACG